UACGUAGGGAGCAAGCGUUGUCCGGAAUCAUUGGGCGUAAAGCGCGCGUAGGCGGCCCUGUAAGUCUGCUGUGAAAGUCCAGGGCUCAACCCUGGGAUGCCGGUGGAUACUGCUGGGCUAGAGUACGGAAGAGGCGAGUGGAAUUCCCGGUGUAGCGGUGAAAUGCGCAGAUAUCGGGAGGAACACCAAUUGCGAAGGCAGCUCGCUGGGACGUUACUGACGCUGAGACGCGAAAGCGUGGGGAGCAAACAGG
rnacentral:rRNA from 1 species